rnacentral:rRNA from 1 species
AACGAACGCUGGCGGCGUGUUUAAGACAUGCAAGUCGCACGGUGUCAUUUUGGUAGCAAUACUUGGAUGGCACAGUGGCGCACGGGUGAGUAACACGUGAAUGACAUGCCCUUCAGAGGGGGAUAGCCCAGGGAAACUUGGAUUAAUACCCCAUGGUCUCGCGAGAGUAAAGGUGGCCGCAAGGCUGUCGCUGGAGGAUUGGUUCGCGUUCUAUCAGCUUGUUGGCGGGGUAACGGCCCACCAAGGCUACGACAGAUACCUGGUCUGAGAGGACGAUCAGGCACACUGGAACUGAGACACGGUCCAGACACCUACGGGUGGCAGCAGUCGAGAAUAAUUCACAAUGGGGGCAACCCUGAUGGUGCAACGCCGCGUGGAGGAUGAAGGUCUUCGGAUUGUAAACUCCUGUCAUCCGGGAGCAAGACCUGGCCGUGAAUAGCGGACAGGGUUGAUAGUACCGGAAGAGGAAGGGACGGCUAACUUCGUGCCAGCCGCCGCAGUAAGAC